AAAAAGUGGAGACAAGAAAACCAUUAAAAAAACAGGGAGUAUUCUGAAAAUCCAAAAGAGUAGGAACAAA
rfam:Saprospiraceae bacterium KD52 Scaffold1_1, whole genome shotgun sequence.